rnacentral:rRNA from 1 species
GUCUACAGCCAUGCCACCCUGAAUAAGCCUGAUGUCUGAUCUCGGAAGCUAAAACAGGGUUGGGCCUGGUUAGUACAUGGAUGGGAGACCACCUAGGAAGACCAGGUGCUGUAGGCA